AGAACUAGCCAUGUGUUUUCAUCCAACCUACGGUUUACACAGAAGCCUAAAACAUGCAAUCUUCAGUAUGCCCAGAGGGAAAGGAGAACCAAAUAUUGAUGACAACUAGUGAAUUACAUUAGAAGUAUAAGAUGAAGAAAGUGACAUCAAGAGAGUGAAAUGAUGAGUCCAAGAUAACAGAAAAUGAGUCACAGAGUUAAGAAUCAAACUCACGAUAAACUAUUCAGAAGUGGCAACGCUCCCCUUGCCUAGAAUUAAGAUGAUGCAGCUGAGACCACCUUCCUAGCAGCC